rnacentral:rRNA from 1 species
AGUGAACGCUGGCGGCGUGCUUAAUACAUGCAAGUCGAACGAUGAAGCUUCUAGCUUGCUAGAAGUGGAUUAGUGGCGCACGGGUGAGUAAUAUAUAGUUAAUCUGCCUUGCACUGAGGAACAACAGUUGGAAACGAUUGCUAAUACCUCAUACUCCAACUUAGCAUAAGUUAAGUUGGGAAAGUCUUUUCGGUGCAAGAUGAGACUAUAUCGUAUCAGCUAGUUGGUAAGGUAAUGGCUUACCAAGGCUAUGACGCGUAACUGGUCUGAGAGGAUGAUCAGUCACAUUGGAACUGAGACACGGUCCAAACUCCUACGGGAGGCAGCAGUAAGGAAUAUUGUGCAAUGGGGGAAACCCUGACGCAGCAACGCCGCGUGGAGGAUGACACUUUUCGGAGCGUAAACUCCUUUUGUUAGGGAAGAAUAAUGACGGUACCUAACGAAUAAGCACCGGCUAACUCCGUGCCAGCAGCCGCGGUAAUACGGGGGGUGCAAGCGUUACUCGGAAUCACUGGGCGUAAAGGACGCGUAGGCGGAUUAUCAAGUCUUUUGUGAAAUCUAGUGGCUUAACCACUAAACUGCUUAGGAAACUGAUAGUCUAGAGUAGGGGAGAGGUAGAUGGAAUUCUUGGUGUAGGGGUAAAAUCCGUAGAGAUCAAGAAGAAUACCCAUUGCGAAAGCGAUCUACUAGAACCUAACUGACGCUGAGGCGUGAAAGCGUGGGUAGCAAACAGG